rnacentral:lncRNA from 1 species
UGAAUAGCUCAAAGUCUAGUUAAGAUAUGCAUAUACUAGUGCAUGCACUCAAGAAAAAGAGACACACGAAUAAAGUAAUUACUAAUAAGCCAAAUAGAAAGUUAUCCUAUAUUUUAAUCUGAAAACAAUACUGAUCAUACAUAUUAGAGUAAAGCUAUCAGAUUAAGGCUACGUACUCAAUAGCUCCACCACUGUAGUUAAAAUCGCGAUCUUUCGGAUUUGCCGUCAAUUGCGAGGCACAAUCUCGCUGAAAAAUUGAUGUUGCUGUUGUUGUUGGGAUCACCAUGGGAAAAAGUAAGAACGUGAGAUCGUUACAAUUCUUGCGUUUCUAUUUCAAUUCCUCCCACAUGCUUUUCCCUCUCUGAGUUGCAGCUAUAUAUGCUAUUCUUCGCGUUUGUGACUUCUUCUUCUCAUUCCAACUAUUUGUUGUAGGGUGAAUGCUUCUUAAGGUAUGGAAGCAGUUGUUUUGGUUGAAGGCGAGGUUGAAGAAGGGGUACUCCAGAUGAAUAAAAAGGAAGUCCUAACUCCUGACGCUUAAUAUUCUCUGAUUAUUUGUGCUAAUGUCUGUAAGUAUUCUGGUCAGAAAAAUACUUAAUAAUUAAAUUUUAACUUAAAUAUAUUUUUUCUGACCAAUCACAACUCAUGGCACAUGGAG